rnacentral:tRNA from 1 species
GGUGCGGUAGUUCAGNNGGUUAGAAUAUCGGCCUGUCACGCCGAGGGUCGCGGGUUCGAGUCCCGUCCGCACCGCAA